rnacentral:rRNA from 1 species
CCUACGGGCGGCAGCAGUGGGGAAUAUUGGACAAUGGGGGCAACCCUGAUCCAGCCAUGCCGCGUGUGUGAAGAAGGCCCUCGGGUUGUAAAGCACUUUCAGUGAGGAAGAACGCCUGGUGGUUAAUACUCAUCAGGAAAGACAUCACUCACAGAAGAAGCACCGGCUAACUCCGUGCCAGCAGCCGCGGUAAUACGGAGGGUGCGAGCGUUAAUCGGAAUUACUGGGCGUAAAGCGCGCGUAGGUGGCUUGAUAAGCCGGUUGUGAAAGCCCCGGGCUCAACCUGGGAACGGCAUCCGGAACUGUCAAGCUAGAGUGCAGGAGAGGAAGGUAGAAUUCCCGGUGUAGCGGUGAAAUGCGUAGAGAUCGGGAGGAAUACCAGUGGCGAAGGCGGCCUUCUGGACGGACACUGACAGUGAGGUGCGAAAGCGUGGGUAGCAAACAGGAUUAGAUACCCUGGUAGUC